rnacentral:lncRNA from 1 species
CCAUGAAUCUCUUUAAAAAAAUGCAUUGCAAAAACAUUAUUCCUAAUGUGGUGACUUACACUUCUCUUAUUGAUGGUUUGUGUAAAUCGGGGAAAAUCUCUUAUGCUUUGAAGCUAGUCGAUGAGAUGCAUGAUAGAGGUGUACCACCUGAUAUAAUUACUUACAGUUCUAUAUUGGAUGCUUUAUGCAAAAACCAUCAGGUUGACAAGGCAAUUGCAUUAUUAACAAAAUUGAAAGACCAAGGUAUUCGACCAACUAUGCACACAUACACUAUUCUUAUUGAUUGAUUGUGUAAAAGUGGAAAACUGGAGGAUGCACGUAAAGUUUUUGAAGAUCUUUUCGUCAAAGGCUACAAUCUUGAUGUCUAUGCAUAUACCGUUAUGAUCCAAGGGUUUUGUGUCAAGGGCUUGUUUAAUGAAGCGUUGGCCUUGCUGUCAAAAAUGGAAGACAAUGGCCGCAUUCCAGAUGCUAAAACUUAUGAAAUAAUUAUCCUUUCUCUGUUCAAAAAAGAUGAAAAUGAUAUGGCAGAGAAACUUCUUCGUGAAAUGAUCGCGAGAGGUCUACUGUAAAACUGAAAUAUGUAAGAUAACAAUAAUUGAUAAAUAAUGGAAUUACACACGUGACACACAUUAAUUGAUAAAUAACAGACACAUCAGCACUAAAUGUCAUGGGAAUCAUAAAAUCAGAAAGGGCGAAAACUAUAGGGGGGAAAAUCGCUCGUUUUAAACUAUGGGGUGCAAAAUCGCACAAUUGGCAAACUAUAGGGGGGAAAGAGCAAUUAAGCCUUUUUUUUAAACGUUUUUCUAUCAUGUGCAAACUUGCACAUGUUAAAAAGUUUAAAAUUGUAAUAUUGUAUCGGAACUAAUGCAUUUCAUAUUAAAUAUAUAAUUUUUAAUAAAUAAUUUUUUCUUUUUUCAAUGUAAAGUUAUUACUUGUAGUUCCUUUAACAUGUGCAAUAUUGCUUAAACAACCCCUUUUUUUAAUAUAGGGUAACACAUGACACAUUGUGAUGGAUCAAUCUUACAGGACAUCGCGAUGUCAUCGAGGAGAAUUGUUGUUCCCACAUUAAAUAAGGCUGUGGCACACGAGUAAUUUACUUUUUUGCCCCCUCGGCAGUUAACUGCCGAGGAAUUAGAAAUCCGGCUGCAGUUAACUACUGAGGUUUAACUGUCGAGGAUCUUCUGCUACAAAUCUGGCGGAAGCUCUCUCAUCCAUUAUUCAUCUCAUCUUCUUCAAAUUUCUCUCACAAAUCUCUCUAAAAAACACAACCAAAUCCAACCAAAUUUAUUCAACAAAAUCACAAGUAAGUAAUUAUAAUGCUAUUAACUUACAUUUUAGUUGUUAUAAAUGUUUUUAUUUUUUAGUUUUUGACUAGAUUUACAUGUUAUAAAUAAUUUUUAGUGUGGAUGUUAGUUGAUUAAUGUUGUUAAAAAUAUUUGCAUGCAUGAUGUUUAUGUUAUAAAUUAGAAUUUUAGGGUUAUUUAUUAUUUUGUUGUUUUAUAUUUAUUUUUUUUUAUUUUAGUUUUUAAUUAGAUAUACAUGUUAUAAAUCAUUUUUAGAUUAGAUGUUAGUUAAUUAAUGUUAUAUUAUAUGAUUAAACAUAAGUUGAAUGAUUUAUAUUAUAUUAUAUGAUUAAUUUUUUUAUUUUAGUAAGAGUAUAUGAUUUAUAAUUUUAGGGUUAUUUUUAUGAAUUUUAGAGUCUAUGUAUAAUGUGCACAUCAAGUGUUUGAUGAAAUGUUUGAAUGAGUUUUUUCAUUGAUUGUUUUUAAUUUCUUAUUGUGUAGAUUUGAAACAAUGGCCGGGUGGAUCGACGUUCAUGCGCAAUUCAACGGCGGAGAACCUCAGAGGUUGAAGGUUCGGUGUGUAACGCUAAGAGGUCUCAAGGAUGAACUGACUGAAUUCAACCAAGGAGUCAACCCCAGAGACACAAGGAGGGUGGAACACCUUCGGUAUAAACGUCCAACGCUCGACGAGGGGAGAGUUUCAUUCACUUGGGUGGAAUUAACAAACGACGAAAACGUGAAGAGCAUGUUUUGGGAGCACAGCAUGUUCCAGUGGAUCGAUAUGCGGGUGAUGUUGCUGAGAUCAACUGAAGAUAUGAUCAACAACUUGAUUCCGCCAGCAGAUCGUCAUUAGUUAGGGUAAGGUGCAUUCCAACUGCAACAAUUUUCUUAUCGUUGAAUGAGAUAAAUUCAAACCUGCCAAACAACAUGACUCAAGCAUUUCGCUCGGCAUUCAUGUUUUUCCUUUGAAAAGAUUAAAUUUUUGUUAGGCUGGUUUAGAUGAAGGUAUUAAGUGUCAAGGAAUGAACCUCAUCAAAACCUAAGCUAUCAUAACAUAUCAUAAAAUCUAAACCUAAACCUAACAAUUCUACAACGAUUCAUCAAAACCUAAACCUAACAAUUCAAUAAAAGUUCUCUAACAAUUCUAACCUAAACUAUAAUAACAUAUCAUAAAAUCAUAAAAUCAAUAAAAUCUAUAUAAUUGAAAUUUAACAAAAAAAAAAAAAAAAAUUCAACCGCAAAACAACAAUGCAAUAGAAUUAAAAAAACUUACUUGUUUUUGUGAUUGAAAUUGGUUUGGAAUGACUUGAAAUAGCUCAAAAUCGCACUUCGGAGAUCAAAAAACGUAACAAUGGAGUUUUGGAAACUCCUAUGUCUGUUUUGUUCUUAUAACAUUUCCUCGGCAGUUAACUACCGAGGUUUUCCUCAGCAGUUAACUGCAGCCGGAUUUCUAAAACUUCGACAGUUAACUGCCGAAGGGGCAAAAACGUCAAUUACUUGUGUGCCACAGCCUUAUGCAACGUGGGAACAACAAUUCUCGUCAUCGAGUGUUGUCCUAAGGGGGGUGUAUUGGAUCAUGAUUCUAAGAGAUUUUAAAAGACUUUUUUUAUCAUGAAAAAGUCUUGUGAUAUUCAAUCAAGACUCUUUCCAAUUUAAAUAAAGUCUUGUGUUAUUCAAUCAAGAUUCUUUGUCAUUUAAAAAAAGUCUUGUGGUAUUCAAUCUAGAUUCUUAAUCACUUAAAAAAAAGUCUAGUAGUAUUCAAAAUCAUUCAAAUUUCGAAGGAUUGUUUAAUAAAUCAGAUUUUGAUGGAUUUUAUAGGAUUUUCUAGUGAAAUUUUAGCAUGAAAAAAUCUUUCAUAAAAACAUGAGAUUUUUUAGGAUUGUUUUUUUUUCUUAUUUUACUAUCUCUCCCUAUAUCUCCUCCCUUCUCUCUUACUUUCUAUUUUCCUCUCCUCUCUCUCUCUCUCCCCUUCCUUCCUUCUCUCUCUCUCUAGCUCUCACGUAAAAAACCUCUCUCUAACUCUCCCGUAAAAAACAUCUCUCUCUCUCUGAUUCCUUCACCAUCUCUCUCUAGCUCUCCGUAAAAAAUAAAAUAAAAUAAAUAAAAGAGUUUUUAUUGAGAUUUUGUAGCUCUAGCUCUUCCGUAAAAAAUAAAAUAAAAUAAAUAAAAUAGUCUUUAUUGAGAUUUUGUGAAAGAGAGUGUGUUAUGAUAUUUUUUUCAAUUAUUUCUUAAAAUUCAUAAAAUCUUUUGAAAUCUCUUGAAAUCCAUAAAAUCAUUUCAAAUCCUUUAAAAUCUUAUGAAUUAAAUCCAUUGAAAUCCUUAAUAAUCUUUUAAAAUCAUCAAAGUCAUCAAAAUCUUGCAAAGCCUUUUAAAAUCCUCAACACUUUUUUAAACAAAAAUUAUCGAGUGAACCAUCAAAUUCGUCCCUGAAUUUUCACGCGUCGGCCAAAUUAGUCCCUCAAUUAUGCGAAAUUUCAAUUUCAUCCCUGAAUUUGUCAGACGUCCAUCAAAAAGGUCCCUCCGUUAACGGGCUCCGUUAGCCAUGCUGACAUGUCGCCUUGCAUGCUGUGUUGUCUUGUACGCGUGGCAAGAAGGAAGCCACGUGUUCAGGGACGAAUUUGAUUGAUUUGGAAAAAGUUCACUUUUCAUUUUUCAAUUUAAUUUUUUCGUGCUUUUCCCAUUUUGCCCCUGCAUUACAUAUUUCUUCUUCUUCACAUUUUACUCAGAAACAUCAAAAACAUCCUUGACUCUUCUCCUUCCCGCUAAAACGUUCUCCAUUUUCACCCCUCCAAAAUCAUCAUCAUCUCCAUCGAUUCUGGCGUGUUUGAAGUUCCUGUGUUCGACCGUGAUCAAAGGUAACACCUUUCCUUGUGUUUAUCAAGAUUCUGUGUUUUUUUUGGCACCGUUUUUGUUCAUUUUUUGGUUUUUUGGUUUUAAGUUUUUAUCAUUUCGUUUUGGCGUUUUAAGAUUAUGUGAUCAUUUCGUUAUCGUUUUGUCCUUUUGUUGCGUGUUUGAGACAGUUGGUUUGGUUUGAUUAUUCGUUUUUAGGGUUUUGGGUUAAGUUGUAAAAAUUUGAAAAUUUGAUUUUUUUCCUGGUUGUUUACUAAAUUUGAUGAACAUUUAACUUUGUAAUGAAGGAAAUUACACGUUUGUUUUUGAGUUUUGCAUUUUAGUUUUGUAUUUUUUUGUUGUUUUGUUUGUGAUUAAAAUCAAGGUUGCCGAAAUGUGUAGGAUGGAAGAGCAUAUAACACUAAUACUGCAUCAUGGUGGUGAUUUAGUGCGAAAUGAGAAUCGGAGGCUGCAAUAUGUUGGCGGUGAAUUCUGUGUAUGGGAAAAGAUAUAUGUUGAUGAGUUGUGUUUNAACAAGUGAAUAAGGCUAAUAGUAUAUUCAACACUAUGGCUCAGGGGGGAGUGAAUCCUGAUACUCAGAGUUACAAUAUCAUGAUUAACGGGUUUUGUAAGAUUAAAAAGGUUGAUGAAGCCAUGAAUCUCUUUAAAAAAAUGCAUUGCAAAAACAUUAUUCCUAAUGUGGUGACUUACACUUCUCUUAUUGAUGGUUUGUGUAAAUCGGGGAAAAUCUCUUAUGCUUUGAAGCUAGUCGAUGAGAUGCAUGAUAGAGGUGUACCACCUGAUAUAAUUACUUACAGUUCUAUAUUGGAUGCUUUAUGCAAAAACCAUCAGGUUGACAAGGCAAUUGCAUUAUUAACAAAAUUG